UACGGAGGGUGCAAGCGUUAUCCGGAUUUAUUGGGUUUAAAGGGUGCGCAGGCGGGACCUUAAGUCAGUGGUGAAAUCCCUUCGCUUAACGAAGGAACUGCCAUUGAUACUGAGGUUCUUGAAUCUAGUUGACGUUAGUGGAAUGUGUCAUGUAGCGGUGAAAUGCUUAGAUAUGACACAGAACACCGAUCGCGAAGGCAGCUAGCGAAGCUAGUAUUGACGCUCAGGCACGACAGCAUGGGGAGCAAACAGG
rnacentral:rRNA from 1 species